rnacentral:misc_RNA from 1 species
GAGAGAAUAAAACGGCAAGCCGUUUUCUUUUUGCGUCUAUUUUGACUUAUUUCUUCUCAGUCCAUUUCUGUCGUCGGAGUUAGCAGAUUCCGACGACGUUUUCACCAGAUCCAUAACAACCUUAAAACCGACAGCGUGGUGAGGCGUUACAUCGGUGUAUAACAAGAGGUUUUGGUUCAAUCGAACGGUCGAGAUGGCGCCGAGCACGAUCCGAAAAGCGAUUGGGACCGUUAAGGAUCAAACCAGCAUUGGAAUAGCCAAGGUAGCGAGUAACAUGGCACCGGAGCUGGAGGUGGCGAUAGUUAAGGCGACGAGCCACGACGAUGACCCGGCGAACGAUAAGUACAUAAGGGAGAUCUUGAAUUUGACGUCGUAUUCUCGUGGUUACGUGCACGCUUGCGUGGCGGCAGUGUCGAAGCGGCUGGGGAAGACAAGGGA